rnacentral:rRNA from 1 species
GAUGAACGCUGGCGGCGUGCCUAAUACAUGCAAGUCGAGCGAACGGACGAGAAGCUUGCUUCUCUGAUGUUAGCGGCGGACGGGUGAGUAACACGUGGAUAACCUACCUAUAAGACUGGGAUAACUUCGGGAAACCGUAGCUAAUACCGGAUAAUAUUUUGAACCGCAUUGUUCAAAAGUGAAAGACGGUCUUGCUGUCACUUCUAGAUGGAUCCGCGCUGCAUUAGCUAGUUGGUAAGGUAACGGCUUACCAAGGCAACGAUGCAUAGCCGACCUGAGAGGGUGAUCGGCCACACUGGAGCUGAGACACGGUCCAGACUCCUACGGGAGGCAGCAGUAGGGAAUCUUCCGCAAUGGGCGAAAGCCUGACGGAGCAACGCCGCGUGAGUGAUGAAGGUCUUCGGAUCGUAAAACUCUGUUAUUAGGGAAGAACAUAUGUGUAAGUAACUGUGCACAUCUUGACGGUACCUAAUCAGAAAGCCACGGCUAACUACGUG